rnacentral:misc_RNA from 1 species
AAGUCGUAACAAGGUCUCCGUAGGUGAACCUGCGGAGGGAUCAUUACAAGAACUUCCGGGCUUCGGCCUGGUUAUUCAUAACCCUUUGUUGUCCGACUCUGUUGCCUCCGGGGCGACCCUGCCUUCGGGCGGGGGCUCCGGGUGGACACUUCAAACUCUUGCGUAACUUUGCAGUCUGAGUAAACUUAAUUAAUAAAUUAAAACUUUUAACAACGGAUCUCUUGGUUCUG